rnacentral:lncRNA from 1 species
AGAAUAAAUUAUCUUUCCGGGACUAGCUCUAAAUCGUAUAUGUUCAUGAUAUGUCUUAUCGACAGAGCAACCUCCUGUUUAAGCUUUCUAUUAUCGGAAACAAGUACUCAACUGUAACAAUAGAUAAUAUAUUGAUUCAACUGAUAAAUACAGGCAUUUCUCAGAACAGAAAAUAACGUAAACAAUUUAUAACACUGAAACCCCA